ensembl:lncRNA
AAGAAAAAAAGUGCAGGUCAGAAGAGUUUUGUGGAGCUUGAGGGUGGGUGGAAAUAAGACUCUCUUCACUUGCAUGCUAAAAAUGGCUCGUUUUUCUGUUUAUGUUUUGUUUCUAUUGAUCCUGAUUAUUGUCUCAUCAGAAUGCAGCGAUAUCCAAACUGUGACUGCGGAUGAUGCUGUUACUCUCUGUAGAUUUAAUUCAAGUGAAAUCGAUACAGGAGGCAGAGUCAAGGUGGCAAAUUACACCUCAGACAAAAAAGCCAUGGUCAUCUUUGAGUGGCCCAAACAGGCUCAACAAGCUAAACGAUUGUCAUGGAAGCCUGAUGGAAAUGGACUGAUGUGUCUUCAUCUGAAAAACGUACAAAAAUCUGAUGAAGGGACGUACAGCUGUGAAAUGUGGCGAGGAUGGGAUCGUGUCCGGGUGACAAACAUGACUCUGAAAGUAAAAGAUUGCAAAAGCCUUUCUGCAGUGAAAGCAAAACUAGACUCAUCCUUCAGGCUGCAGUGCUCUGUGGACAUCACACCAGAGAAGCAAAGACCACAAAAUGUCUCCUGGGCAAAGCUGAAAGGACGUCACCAUGAACCUGUUGACUCUCGGAGGGUUGGACCAGACAACACAUUGAUAUUCCAGACUGUGAGUUACAGUGACAGUGGCUGGUAUCGGUGUAAUUACGUUCUUGGAACAACUAAGCGCUGCGUUGACGUCCGUCUAAAUGUCCAAGAAGCAGAUGACACCUCUGAAGAUAAAACAGCCACGAUCAUCCCAAACACCCCAACAGACACUCAGCAAGGAUCACACCAGGAAGCUGAGCACAGUGCGACUGUGAUCGCAGUGGUACUCUCUGUUGCUUUUGGGUUGACGAUUGCUACCGUAUUUGGAGUGUUCUUUUACCGCAGACAACAAAGGAGGAAAGUAACGGCACAGCGUCAGACUGCAGGGAGACAUAUGGAGACUGUGGACAUCUAUAUACCUUUGACUCCGCCACAAUCACGGGAUCCUGCAAACUAUCGCGUCAGCAGUCUUUAUGAGGAUGAAGAGAUGAAUACCUUUUACUAUUAGAUGUUCUAUCCCGCCUCUGGAAAAAGAAGAUCCUCGUUGCACAGAGUCAGUUUGUGUAACAUGCAGCAUGUCUCUUAGGAGUCUUGUAUUAUUGCAUGUAAUCAUCUGAAUUGGACGAAUGAAAUGUUUGUCAUAUCAUUUCUGAAAAAUGUUGAUCAUAAUAAGGGAAGUUGUAAAUGUCAGUCAACAAAUAUUUCUUCUUGUUACAAGAGGAUUUGCUAUUUCAAGCAGAGGUCUACAAAACCCUAGUUAUUUCCAUUUAGUUCACAGGCUGUAAUAGAUGAUAGAAAUCAUCUGUGGCUUGGCCUGCUUCUUGUCUUUGUCUUGACUGCUGUUGUUCCUCAUCAUUGUCUUGGAUCACAUCGUAGACAUGAGUCUUGAAAAGGAUAAUAGAAAUGUUAGUACAUUGAGAUUUGCCACAAGUACAAGUUCAGCCUUCAUACUGAAUAUUUAGUCUGUAGUGUUUACUGUUAAUUUGUCUAUUCCAGCCUCUUUGUUCAUGCUAUCUUUGAUUUAUUCAUGAGAGAAAUUUUUAAAAUGAUUAAUGUUGUAUAUGUGUGAAAAUUCAAUGACGUUAGCAUGAUAGGAACAACAGUAUGAGAAAUAUAACAUGUUGAUGUAAAGAAAUAAAACAGAACUACAUUAUUGCAAUAUUUUGUUGUUGAAGAAUUUCAUCUUACCAUUCCAAUACUUGGUGAGUCCUUUGCUGUGAACAGAAAUACAUGACAUUUCCACUUUCAUCCAGGUUUUCAAAUCAUUUUUGCACCAUAGUGACAAUACAUAGGCGUCAGCUGUACCCAGCUCCACUACCUGCAGCCUUCUUGCGCCUCCUCUUCAUGCAUAUGUAGAUUCCUCCUGCUGCAGCACAUAUCAGGAGGCCCACUGGAAGUGCUAACCAUGCUGGAGUCUGAAGAGCUGAGAACAGUAAAGGAAUUAUUCUUCCCUUUAAUGACAAGGUAAACUAAACUAAGGCUAUUUCCUAUACUUUCUGUCAAUAGCAAUAAUAAUAAUGUCCCAGAUUGUUAAUACAUACUUACAGUUAACCUCCUGCCACUCCUUGGAUGCCAUCAGCGCUCCCUCUCUGUACGCAGAGCACAUCAUUUCAUCUCCCACUGAUCCGACAGGGAGAAACAACGUCCUCACUAAGGUGUUGUUGACAGCUAUUAAUUCGCUCUGCUGGCCUCUGUGGUUCCUUUUAGACCACGUUAAAUUGAAAUCUUUUUCACAUUGUGUAGCACAUGUUAGCACACACAUCAGGGUGAGAUUAUCUCCUCCGGGUCCAGAUGCUGCAACCACUGUGUAGACAAUAAAGCAUUCAAUCACCUUUGAGGUCAGAUGUUGUGUGAGUAUACAUGUCCCUUACAGACAUUUACAGAGUUUUCUCUUCUCACCAUCAAGAGUGUGCAGCCUGAUUCUGUCGAGCGCCCUGUGCUGACCCCCGGACUCGGAGCAUUGGUACUGUCCAGCAUGGACAGCUUUCAGUUUACUAAUGACCAGUGAUGAAUCCUUCAUCUCAUGAGAUGUCCUUAUUUGGCCACAGUCAGGUGAGUUCCGAUCAGUCAGAGGGUUUUCACACACAGUCCACUCCACACUGACUUCCACAUCCAGAGAGGAAGUGUUACAAGACAGCGAAACGGACUGACCCACUGCAGCAACCACUUCCUCCAGGCCAUCUAGGGGAAGAUGAGUUCGUGGCAAAUUCAAACAGCAUAAACCACAGCUCUCACUUGGAGCGAAAUAGCAGCGUGAAGUACCUUUUACUGUUGUUGUGUAACUGGUGACUGUGAGCACAUGAUCGUGAGUGAGAUGACAUUUCCAUUUCCUGCGAUGGUCAGUUGGUUUUUUAGCGAUGAUCAGUUUGGAGAAGCAGUGAGAUGGAUAGUCAAACCUGAAUCUGUCUCCAUUUAGUGGUGAGCCAUCCUCAGAGCUCCACCUGAUAUGUACUCCCGUGCUGUUGUCACAGGCCUCAUAUCCUUUGUAACUGCUGAGGAAACAGUGGAGCUCUAUUGUUCCCGUUGCAGGGUCAGCCUUCUCAGUUACUGUGAAAAAAGACAGAAUAGCAGCAACAUUUUCAUUAAAAAAUGCUUUCACUCAGGAAUGUUAAACAGUUUGAUUAUUAGUUUUCUGAUAACUUCUGCAUUGUGAAAGGUCAUAUAGGAACCCUUUCAGAGUAUGCAUUUCUGUUUCCACUUCCAUGUUUAAACAGAGCAAAACCUACCCUGAAGAAUCUUAAGUGAAACACUUGAAUUGAUCUUUCCACUGUCACAAGUGUAAAGCUGUGCGUCACUCAGCAGCAGGCCAGCAAUCUGCAGGGAGCAGUUCCUCAUCAGUUUAUGUCUGUGAACAGUUUUAGUCACCGCUCCAGCCUUCACCACCUCAAACCUCUCAAACUUCCCUCCCAUGUUCCAGUUAAUCGAGGAGCAGGAUUGAAUAGGAGAUGUGCCACAUGGUAAAAUGACAGUCUCUCCUUCUAAGGCAACCACCAGCAAAGGAUCUGCCAAGAAAAACAAGGCGUGGAUUUAUUCGCCAGUCGGCUCAAAUAUUAAAAGUUAUUAUAUUUAUAACAGAAUAGCAAGUUGUUGACCCACCAUGGAAAUUUCCCUCAGCAGGGAAACUAACUUAUUUAGACAUAACUUCAAUUACAUGUUGCAUUUGUCUCUUUGAG